rnacentral:rRNA from 1 species
CCUACGGGAGGCUGCAGUGAGGAAUAUUGGUCAAUGGGCGUAAGCCUGAACCAGCCAAGUCGCGUGAGGGAUGAAGGUUCUAUGGAUCGUAAACCUCUUUUAUAAGGGAAUAAAGUGUGGGACGUGUCCUGUUUUGUAUGUACCUUAUGAAUAAGGAUCGGCUAACUCCGUGCCAGCAGCCGCGGUAAUACGGAGGGUCCGAGCGUUAUCCGGAUUUAUUGGGUUUAAAGGGUGCGUAGGCGGCCUUGUAAGUCCGCGGUGAAAGUCUGUGGCUCAACCAUAGAAUUGCCGUUGAAACUGGGAGGCUUGAGUAUGUUUGAGGCAGGCGGAAUGCGUGGUGUAGCGGUGAAAUGCUUAGAUAUCACGAAGAACCCCGAUUGCGAAGGCAGCCUGCCAAGCCAUGACUGACGCUGAUGCACGAAAGCGUGGGGAUCAAACAGGAUUAGAUACCCCAGUAGUC